rnacentral:lncRNA from 1 species
UCACGUAUACUCUAAUCUCGGUGGCAAUCGAGGUUUGACAGUUGGUGUAAAUUAUGUAGGGUAUUCCACCUAGCUCAGCUGCAUAGCAUUGUUGUUGGAAAAUAUUGCAUUAUGCCCAUGUGUUUUCAAAUGAUUUGAUAUGAAACUACUUUAUAAUAGCUCUCACCUAUAUUUGGUAAAAAUAUUAUAUUUUGUUUGAUUUCUCUGCGUACCAGUACUUUUGUAUUGACCCCCUUCCCUCCCAAGUUCGGAGGCACAGUCUAGGGAUCCAGAUAACCAGU